rnacentral:misc_RNA from 1 species
UACGGAGGGUGCGAGCGUUGUUCGGAAUUAUUGGGCGUAAAGCGCGCGUAGGCGGCCUCUUAAGUCUCACUGUGAAAGCCUGCGGCUCAACCGCAGGAGGCCAGGGGAUACUGAGGGGCUGGAGACAGGUAGAGGCGAGCGGAAUUCCGGGUGUAGCGGUGGAAUGCGUAGAGAUCCGGAAGAACACCAGAGGCGAAGGCGGCUCGCUGGACCUGGUCUGACGCUGAGGCGCGAAAGCGUGGGGAGCGAACAGG